GAUUUUUUUUUCCUACUGAAAGAAGUUUUGUAACUUAAGUUAUAAAAAUGAUCUCAUUAUGGAUUGGUUUUAUAUCAUAGUAGUCAUUAGUGUAUAUCUCUCAAAAACCGAUAUGAUGGUUUGAAGAUGGCGAUGGAGCCGAAUGUCAACAAUUUUGUUCUGGAAUCUCAGCUUAUUAUGUGCAACAACAGUCAAAGGGGUCGCUUUGAUUUUGAAGACCAAAAGGGUGGCUGCUCCUAUAUAUCUCUGAUUCUGAUUGUGAGAAAGUGACUUUAAUCAGGUUGGGGUUGCUGACACCAGAAGACAUAAUUAUUGAAAUGGAUCAAAAGGAAAAGUGAUUUUGUAGGCUUGUAAGUUUGGCUGGAAAGCAGAAGGGUAUUGGUGGAAAGGAGAUUUGUCAUGUUGUGGUGGACACUUGAUUAUACACAAGAGGCCCAUAUCAGAAAAGCCAUUCCAUGAAGAAAUUAAAAGUGUAAUGCAGGAAAAUGAACAUGGAAAGGAUUCUUGGUACCUUGGCUUGUGUGUUAAGGAUGAAUGGACUGCGUGUCGAUCGAGGAAGACAUUUAUUUAGUCUUUUGAAUUAUGUUUCUUUUGAAAUUCCGCAUUUAGUUUUUGAACAAUUAAUGUAAAGUUGUGUUUUAUGUUUUACAAAAAAUGGGUACCCAUGCCAUACUACAUUUUAAACUUAUAAUUUUAUGUUAUUGAUACAAUAUUUAUUUUGGAGUUUUAAUAAAGUUGUGAUUAUUUCUUAUGUAUAUUUUCUCAAUUAGUAGUAGUUAUUUCUAGCAAGGUCUUAGAAAUAGUUGGGUCGUUACAGGUAACUAAUCAAGUUUGACUUGAUCAAGCAAUGCGUGUACACAUAUGCCACAAGGCAUAUAUAUUUUUGGGAUAUUAGUAGCAUAAGUACCCAAUGUUUGGGGAAAAUACCCGGCAUGGACCCAAUCUUUUUUUUAGUGGGUAAAGUAUCCAAACUUCCUAAAACUGUAAUUUCGUCCAAUUCCGUCAAUAGAGUCUCCGUUAGUGGGCCAUAGUGGACACGUGUAGGCUCCAGAUUAAUCCAAUGUUUAAUUUUUAAAAACAAAAAAAAUAUUUUCAAAUUUAAUUUCAUUAUUAUUAUUAUUUUAUUUUUAAAACCUAAAAAAUAAAACCCCGAGACCCACGAAGAGAAGCCAUUUUCGAAGAGGCUGCAAGGAAGAAGUCGACGGUGGAAGAAGAAGCCAUUUUUGAAGACCUAAGGAAGAAGGAGGACUGGAAAUAUGGAGGGUGAAGGUUCAUUUUGCUCUUCUGGUCGAGUACACAGCAGAGGGAGGUAUUGAGGUAGGGGUCCAGUGAGGUAUGAUGGAGAAACAUGUGAUUGUGGCUUAACGUCGACAUUGAGGACCUCUUGGACUAAUCGAAAUCCUGGUAGAAGAUUCAUAACAUGCUAUAGAAUGAAAGUAAGUUUUUUUUUGUUUUUAAAUUUUCUCUUGUUCUUGAUUAUUCAUGGUUUGAAUGGUGUUCUUGAAAUAACUUGUAUAUUUUCUUCCUUAUUACAGUCAGAGGGGGGAUGUGAUUUUUUUCGUUGGGUGGAUCCAGAAACUUGUCAAGGUGGAAAGGAUUUGAUUCCGGAUUGGGUCAAGAGAAUUGAAGGUGAAGAUUGCAAUGGGGAGGAAAAUGUGGUAAUGAUCAGAGACAUGUAGAAAUAGGUGACAAGAAAAUUGGGAAACAAGUUUGUAUAAUGUGUACUCAUCCAAAUAGUAGUCUUUGGUUGAAUAUAAGUUGGGGGAAACUAUAUUUUUUUUUGGUAGUUGUCAUUGUGCUAGUAUUGCUGCCGAAGUAGUGGUGGUUUUACAAAUGUAAUGGUCUCAUGAGUUGUAACAAUGACAAAUGAAUUGAAAUGAAAUUGUGCUACUUUUUUGUUUGUGAAAAUUGGUGUGUUUUGAUUGACAAUUUUAUGUUAAAUUGUGUUGAGGGCACUUGGUUGUAUUGGUGCAUUUAACAAAUUACAUAAUAACAAUAACAUAGGCAUCAACAUAAAGACCAAUACAACAUUAACCAGUUUUCAGCAAGUUCCUUUGGU